rnacentral:rRNA from 1 species
CAGUCGCCGCGGGAAUACAGAGGGUGCGAGCGUUAAUCGGAUUUACUGGGCGUAAAUCGUGCGUAGGCGGCUUCUUAAGUCGGAUGUGAAAUCCCUGAGCUUAACUUAGGAAUUGCAUUCGAUACUGGGAAGCUAGAGUAUGGGAGAGGAUGGUAGAAUUCCAGGUGUAGCGGUGAAAUGCGUAGAGAUCUGGAGGAAUACCGAUGGCGUAGGCAGCCAUCUGGCCUAAUACUGACGCUGAGGUACGAAAGCAUGGGGAGCAAACAGGAUUAGAUACCCCCGUAGUCCCUGUCUCUUAUAC